GAGAAGACCGGGAAGGACCGUCAACAGAGCUCUUUGGACAAGAGCCCAAGCGGCGGAUACUACCACAAAGGACUGAUGUCAGAAGGCUGUCAGGGAGCUGCGAAGGUCAAGGAUCUAUUAGAAAUGAACAAGCCCUGCAAUCCCACACAAGAGCCCGGUACAGCAUUUGAUGCUUGUGUUGGAGGCAAAAGGUGGACCAGACGCAGUUAAGCAGGAGAAGUGAAGCGGUGGUCCAGUACCGGUGCAGACGGUUCCCUGACAUGGUGGCUCCUCACUGGGAUGCUCUGUACUCAGCCUCAGCUGGCCCCUAUGACCCAAGUUGCCGAGAAAACAAAAUUGUAGGCAUGACUGCGGGUGGACUGCAAGGACAGAAGUGAAAGAAGAAUAAAAGAAUUCUCCAGCUAAACAAUGUGCCGGGUCAGGAAGAAUAAUAGGAACAAUUCUAUGCAUCUCUUUGUCAAAAGUUCAAUUUACUUGAUUUGUUAUGAUAAAUGACAAUCCAUUGUCUGCGUGGGACUUAAAAAAAAUGACACAAAUGGGAGCGCUGUAGUUCAAUCCAAAAUUAUCAUCAACUUUAGAUUUUAUAAAAACAAAACUUUAUAAAAAGACGGAACAAAAGAGCUGAAAUAAAUUCUGAAAUUUAGUACUUUGUCAUGCCCCAGAUAUUACUGAUGAGCUUGCAGUUUAAAAAAAAAGCACACCAAAAUUGAAUGAAGCCACAUUGGAGAGGAAGAAGUACAUCCUGUCAGUAGCUGUCAUGACCUAAUGACAGCUGUCUCUAUGGUAAUGUGUACAACUCGGCCUCCAAAUCACAAAGUUGAAUUGAACAAUUACAUACAAUGUUUAUGAUUAGAGCAAGUCAUGAUUGAAAAUCACCCAGAAAAUCCACAUUCAUGAGAUCUGUAACUUUUGCCAAAGGCUACCAGAUAUAGGAUAUUGAAAACAUUAUCAAGUCUUGUGUACGAAUGCAACUCCAUGGGGGCACAAACCAGUGCAAUCUGUAGGCCGGUCCCAAGCCUGGAGAAAUGCAGACGGUUGCGUCAGGAAGGGCAUCCGGCGUAAAAACUGUGCCAAACAAAUAUGAGCAUUCAUCUAAAGAAUCCCAUACCAGUUCGGUCGUGGCCCUGGUUGUCAUGA